GAAUAGUUCAGUUGGUUGGAGCUUGGUACUGAUAAUGACAAGGUUGCAGGUUUGAUCCCUGUAAAGGACAGCUGCU